UGCCUAGAGAAUCAGCACCAUUAGAAAGCCAUGGAUCGAUCCCAGAAUACCCAGUUAGAAGUGUCACUUAACAGAAUCCAGGGACAACUAAGGUUGAAUGCUUCAUAUUCUAAGAGAGGUGGGACAUGCAGUCAAGCAAUUCAAGGAACAGGAAAGAAUAUGCAUGGAUAAACAGAUUUUAUAGCAAGUCUGCAGUGCCUUAGAAUGGGAAGCAGAAGGCAAAGCUGAAGGGAUAAAGAAAUCAGGGGAAACUGGAGGAGUGGAGUCAGGAGCACACUGAAAGGGAAAGAAGGGAGUUGUAACUGACAAACCGUACAGAAGCCAGAAGACAGUGGAAGAGAAAAUGGUCCAAACAGCCAUUAUUAAAAGUAAAUUAAAUGGCCUACAGAAAGCGGUUAAUGCGACUUCCAUCAUGGCAGAGAAAAAGAAUGUCUACACUGGAAGAAUGAACAGAGAGACUAAGACUGGUCAAUAAUCCUUACUUACUGUCAGAUACAUGGCUGCAUAGACGCUGAGAGCCGCUUCUUUGGAUGGGAACGUCUUCCUGGCUCUCAUGAUGAG